UGACUGCAUUAACUUGAUCGU
rnacentral:miRNA from 1 species